AGUCGUAACAAGGUUUCCGUAGGUGAACCUGCGGAAGGAUCAUUGUCGAAACCUGCCCAGCAGAACCACCCGCGAACUCGUGAUCUCUUGCUCGAGGGGGGGUGUCCGACGUGGGAAGCCCCGGCMUACCGCGUUCGGCCUCCUCCCUCCUGCCGUGUGUGGGGCGGACGAAGAUCUCGCUCGCUCCUCGCGGCAUAACAACGAACCCCCGGCGCGAUCUGCGCCAAGGAAGCUUUAACGAGAGAGAUAGAGGGCGCUCCCGCGGCCCCCGGACACGGAUCGGCUCGCGGGAUGCGUCUCCUUCUUUCAACGAAAAUCCAAAACGACUCUCGGCAACGGAUAUCUCGGCUCUCGCAUCGAUGAAAAAUGCGAUACUUGGUGUGAAUUGCAGAAUCCCGUGAACCAUCGAGUCUUUGAACGCAAGUUGCGCCCCAAGCCUUUAGGCCGAGGGCACGUCUGCCUGGGUGUCACGCAUCGUUGCCCCCCCGAAMCCCRAACCCCCCUUCUUGGGGUGGGCGGGAGAAUSGUUGGACGGGGGCGRAAAAUGGCUUCCCGUGCGCCCCCCGCUCGCGGUUGGCCCAAAUUCGAGUCUCUCGGUGAYCGUGCCGCGACGAUCGGUGGUGGAACAUGCCUCUCAAGAUCCCGUCGCGYGCUCGCAUCUCCGUGCCACGGGGCUCGUGGACCCUUGUUAGCGCCCUCUCUUCGAGACGGUGCUCGCUUUGCGACCCCAGGUCAGGCGGGACUACCCGCUGAGUUUAAGCA
rnacentral:misc_RNA from 1 species